rnacentral:rRNA from 1 species
UACAGAGGGGGCAAGCGUUAUUCGGAAUUAUUGGGCGUAAAGGGCGCGUAGGCGGCCUGACAAGUGGAAGGUGAAAUCCCUCGGCUUAACCGAGGAACUGCCUUCCAGACUGUUUGGCUUGAGACCGGGAGAGGUGAGUGGAAUUCCCAGUGUAGCGGUGAAAUGCGUAGAUAUUGGGAGGAACACCAGUGGCGAAGGCGGCUCACUGGACCGGUACUGACGCUGAGGCGCGAAAGCGUGGGGAGCAAACGGG